rnacentral:rRNA from 1 species
ACUCCUACGGGAGGCAGCAGUGGGGAAUAUUGCACAAUGGGCGCAAGCCUGAUGCAGCCAUGCCGCGUGUGUGAAGAAGGCCUUCGGGUUGUAAAGCACUUUCAGUCGUGAAGAAGGUAGUGUAGUUAAUAGCUGCAUUAUUUGACGUUAGCGACAGAAGAAGCACCGGCUAACUCCGUGCCAGCAGCCGCGGUAAUACGGAGGGUGCGAGCGUUAAUCGGAAUUACUGGGCGUAAAGCGCAUGCAGGUGGUUUGUUAAGUCAGAUGUGAAAGCCCGGGGCUCAACCUCGGAAUUGCAUUUGAAACUGGCAGACUAGAGUACUGUAGAGGGGGUAGAAUUUCAGGUGUAGCGGUGAAAUGCGUAGAGAUCUGAAGGAAUACCGGUGGCGAAGGCGGCCCCCUGGACAGAUACUGACACUCAGAUGCGAAAGCGUGGGGAGCAAACAGGAUUAGAUACCCUGGUAGGAUAGCG